rnacentral:rRNA from 1 species
AUUGAACGCUGGCGGCAGGCCUAACACAUGCAAGUCGAACGGUAACAGGAAGCAGCUUGCUGCUUUGCUGACGAGUGGCGGACGGGUGAGUAAUGUCUGGGAAACUGCCCGAUGGAGUGGGAUAACUACUGGAAACGGUAGCUAAUACCGCAUCACGUCGCAAGUCCAAAGAGGGGGACCUUAGGGCCUCUUGCCAUCGGAUGUGCCCAGAUGGGAUUAGCUAGUAGGUGGGGUAACGGCUCACCUAGGCGACGAUCCCUAGCUGGUCUGAGAGGAUGACCAGCCACACUGGAAAUGAGACACGGUCCAGACACCUAGGGGAGGCAGCAGUGGGGAAUAGUGCACAAUGGGCGCAAGCCUGAUGCAGCCAUGCCGCGUGUAUGAAGAAGGAAUUCGGGUUGUAAAGUACUUUCAGAGGGGAGGAAGGGAGGAAAGUUAAUAACUUUGCUCAUUGACGUUACCAGCAGAAGAAGCACCGGCUAACUCCGUG